rnacentral:rRNA from 1 species
CAGCAGCCGCGGUAAUACGUAGGGUGCAAGCGUUAAUCGGAAUUACUGGGCGUAAAGCGUGCGCAGGCGGUUAUAUAAGACAGAUGUGAAAUCCCCGGGCUCAACCUGGGAACUGCAUUUGUGACUGUAUAGCUAGAGUACGGCAGAGGGGGAUGGAAUUCCGCGUGUAGCGGUGAAAUGCGUAGAGAUCUGGAGGAAUACCGAUGGCGAAGGCAAUCCCCUGGGCCUGUACUGACGCUCAUGCACGAAAGCGUGGGGAGCAAACAGGAUUAGAUACCCCUGUAGUCCCUGUCUCUUAUAC